AACGAACGCUGGCGGCAUGCCUAACACAUGCAAGUCGAACGAGACCUUCGGGUCUAGUGGCGCACGGGUGCGUAACGCGUGGGAACCUGCCCUUAGGUUCGGAAUAACUCCCCGAAAGGGGUGCUAAUACCGGAUAAUGUCUUCGGACCAAAGAUUUAUCGCCUUUGGAUGGGCCCGCGUUGGAUUAGCUAGUUGGUAGCGUAAAAGCCUACCAAGGCGACGAUCCAUAGCUGGUCUGAGAGGAUGAUCAGCCACACUGGGACUGAGACACGGCCCAGACUCCUACGGGAGGCAGCAGUGGGGAAUAUUGGACAAUGGGCGAAAGCCUGAUCCGGCAAUGCCGCGUGAGUGAUGAAGGCCUUAGGGUUGUAAAGCUCUUUUACCCGGGAUGAUAAUGACAGUACCGGGAGAAUAAGCGCCGGCUAACUCCGUG
rnacentral:rRNA from 1 species